UAUAGUCCAGCAAUAUAAGCCUGCAAAUUUUAAUCUAUCUUACAGGUAGAAGGCCUUGGAUGUAUUUUGUGUGGAUAAGAAGUUAGAGGUGCAGUGAAGCUCUCUUCCCAAAGGCUCAGUGAGUGCUAAACUGAAGAGAAAAGCUCUUCUAACACCAUCUAUCUAGCCUACUAGGUUUCAUGGUGUUGAGCAGCAUGAAAUUAAUGAAUGAAUCACACAACAUAACAAUGCAUGAAAUCACGAAUGGACAUAUACGUUCAAUUGCUGGCUCAUCUGAGACCCACCGGCAUAACACCAGGUAGAAAGCUGAAGAUCGUGAAGGAAAACUUAAGGAGUAAACUGUCACUGGCUCCAUCUCAGACUUUAUGCAUUACGUCGGGCCACUUCUGUGCAAGAGAUGUCUCUAAUUUCAUUUUCUGUGUUAUAUGUCUGCUACUUACACACGUGUUUUAAUCUAGUUGUGUAGACUUCUUUGUAGCUGCUAGAGAGGUUAUGAUCCUAGAAAGCAGCUCAUCCCUUCUUAAGUGUCUAAUAGCUCUAGGAAAUAUUGGUCAUGUCUUUCCAUUCCUUAAGUGAAAACUAGGUAAGAAAAACUCAGACUGCUGUGUGAAAAAAGUUUUUGUGAUAAUGCAGAUGAGUUUUUAGAACUGGGGGUGUGUAGAGAAUUGCAUUGCUCCGCUAGCACAGGGAAGCAGUCAGUUCUGAGACCAGCCAGUCCCAAGGCUCCUGUACAAACACGUCGGCCCUCUUCCCACUGGAAUGUUUCCUGACCCAAUGGCACUGACCUUGUUAUUUGCCUGUCAGCUCCUAACAGCUCGGGAGUGGUUGUUGCAACUUAAUUAAUCGCAAACCUAUAGUAGAGUUUAAUAUCUUGUGGUCAACAAUGUAACUGAUUAAAGUGCAGCCCAUAACAGCAAUAUACAGGUCCAUUUCCCUGGAAAAAAAAAUAAUAAUAAAUUGUAAAGAUUUAUCUGGAUACAGAUUUUUUUAAAAAACGUCUUUACAGAUUCCAGAUUGAAUUAUUAAAACGUAUUAUCCAUGGAACUUCUCUGGAAAAUAUUUCACAUGGCCUGUACCUAUAGUCAGGUGUCACUCAAGGUUGCUGAAUUUCUGGCUAGCCUUGGUUACCCAAACACCCACCUUUGGUUGCUGCAAAGUCUUUGAGCUUAAGUCAGCUUUUUAGACUUUUGAUGGCUGUUGGGAUUUCACAUGAUUUUACAGAUGUGGGUAAACAACAUCUCUUGACUUUGGGGCAUCUGCUUUUAAGAUGUUCCCUCCACUGGUCCUGUGAGAUAGAGGUACAUUUUUAAAAAGUGUGUCUGUAACACUACACAUUCUUUUGCUUUCAGAAAUAAUGUUUUGCUGCCUGUGUGAUUAGAUUUGGGUUAAAUUUAGAAUCUCUAAAAUCUUUGCCACAAAAAUGGAUCAGAGCAAUGAGUGUUGUGUAAGAACCUGUGCUAUGGACCAGCUGCUCUAAGCACGAGGACUAGAGAAUGAAGUAUACAUGGAUUUAGGCUACUGCUUCUUAAGUCGUCUUUUCAAUUUUCAGUACCAAAUGAGAAUUUCAUCAGAGUUAACUACCAUGGAAGGGGAGGGCGAGGAGAAAUUACAUAGAAUCUCUGAGUUGGAACAUGAUUAAGUAGCCGUACAAUGUGGUAACUGAAACGACAGAGCACAUUAAUAGGGCUUCGCUGUAGGAAAUACCAGUAUGGGCAGCAGAUGCUGACAAUGAGAAGAAAUGGCAAAGUUGUACAAAAUAUGAGCACCUAUUGUCUCAUGAAAAUCUUAGCAUAAAUGUGACGUGAGUUUUUAAUGGGCAGAUUAAUUUUAUGCAGGAUUUUAAAAAAUAAAUGUUUAUUAGCCCAACUAUGUGUUGAU
ensembl:lncRNA